AUCAUGAGUAAGGCCUCUGGUGAGGUAUUAGAAAGGUGGAAUUUCAGUAUCGAAACUGAUAGUGAGGUUGUCCAGAAAGGUGUUUCAAGAGAGAAAAGUGAUAAAGAAAUAAUGAGGGAAAUUCAAGCGAUUAUGAGGCAAAUAGCGUCCAGCAUCACUUAUUUGCCGUGCCUUGAGGAACCAUGUGUGUUUGAUGUGUUAGCAUACACUGAUAUGGAUGUUGCAGUUCCAUUCACUUGGAUUGAGAGUGACCCUAAACUGAUUGCGAAUCCACAAAUGGUGAAACUGCACUCUUUUGACA
rnacentral:misc_RNA from 1 species